rnacentral:rRNA from 1 species
CCCUUAGAUGUUCUGGGCCGCACGCGCGUUACACUGACGAAUGCAACGAGCUUAUAACCUUGGCCGAAAGGUCUGGGUAAUCUCCAAAUUUCGUCGUGAUGGGGAUAGAUUAUUGCAAUUAUUAAUCUUCAACGAGGAAUGCCUAGUAAGCGCAAGUCAUCAGCUUGCGUUGAUUACGUCCCUGCCCUUUGUACACACCGCCCGUCGCUCCUACCGAUUGAAUGGUCCGGUGAAGCGCUCGGACCGCGGCCUCUUGACGGUUCGCUGUCGAUUGGCUGUGGGAAGUUCGUUAAACCUUAUCAUUUAGAGGAAGGAGAAGUCGUAACA